rnacentral:rRNA from 1 species
GACGAACGCUGGCGGCGUGCUUAACACAUGCAAGUCGAACGGAAAGGCCCUGCUUUUGUGGGGUUCUCGAGUGGCGAACGGGUGAGUAACACGUGAGUAACCUGCCCUUGACUUUGGGAUAACUUCAGGAAACUGGGGCUAAUACCGGAUAGGAUCUCCUGCUGCAUGGUGGGGGUUGGAAAGUUUCGGCGGUUGGGGAUGGACUCGCGGCUUAUCAGCUUGUUGGUUGGGUAGUGGCUUACCAAGGCUUUGACGGGUAGCCGGCCUGAGAGGGUGAACGGCCACAAUGGGACUGAGAGACGGCGCAGACUGCUACGGGAGGCAGCAGUGGGGAAUAUUGCACAAUGGGAGGAAGCCUGAUGCAGAAACGCCGCGUGCGGGAUGACGGCCUUCGAGUUGUAAACCGCUUUCGCCUGUGACGAAGCGUGAGUGACGGUAAUGGGUAAAGAAGCACCGGCUAACUACGUG